rnacentral:rRNA from 1 species
GCACUCUACUUGAUUUUCUUCGGAAAUGAAGAUUUUGUGACUGAGUGGCGGACGGGUGAGUAACGCGUGGGUAACCUGCCUCAUACAGGGGGAUAACAGUUGGAAACGACUGCUAAUACCGCAUAAGCGCACAGGAUCGCAUGAUCCGGUGUGAAAAACUCCGGUGGUAUGGGAUGGACCCGCGUCUGAUUAGCCAGUUGGCAGGGUAACGGCCUACCAAAGCGACGAUCAGUAGCCGACCUGAGAGGGUGACCGGCCACAUUGGGACUGAGACACGGCCCAAACUCCUACGGGAGGCAGCAGUGGGGAAUAUUGCACAAUGGGGGAAACCCUGAUGCAGCGACGCCGCGUGAGCGAAGAAGUAUUUCGGUAUGUAAAGCUCUAUCAGCAGGGAAGAAGAAUGACGGUACCUGACUAAGAAGCACCGGCUAAAUACGUGCCAGCAGCCGCGGUAAUACGUAUGGUGCAAGCGUUAUCCGGAUUUACUGGGUGUAAAGGGAGCGCAGGCGGUGCGGCAAGUCUGAUGUGAAAGCCCGGGGCUCAACCCCGGUACUGCAUUGGAAACUGUCGUACUAGAGUGUCGGAGGGGUAAGUGGAAUUCCUAGUGUAGCGGUGAAAUGCGUAGAUAUUAGGAGGAACACCAGUGGCGAAGGCGGCUUACUGGACGAUAACUGACGCUGAGGCUCGAAAGCGUGGGGAGCAAAC